UACGUAGGGUGCGAGCGUUGCUCGGAAUCACUGGGCGUAAAGGGUGCGUAGGCGGGUCUUUAAGUCAGAGGUGAAAUCCUGGAGCUCAACUCCAGAACUGCCUUUGAUACUGAAGAUCUUGAGUUCGGGAGAGGUGAGUGGAACUGCGAGUGUAGAGGUGAAAUUCGUAGAUAUUCGCAAGAACACCAGUGGCGAAGGCGGCUCACUGGCCCGAUACUGACGCUGAGGCACGAAAGCGUGGGGAGCAAACAGG
rnacentral:rRNA from 1 species